AUUGAACGCUGGCGGCAGGCCUAACACAUGCAAGUCGGACGGUAGCACAGAGGAGCUUGCUCCUUGGGUGACGAGUGGCGGACGGGUGAGUAAUGUCUGGGGAUCUGCCCGAUAGAGGGGGAUAACCACUGGAAACGGUGGCUAAUACCGCAUAACGUCGCAAGACCAAAGAGGGGGACCUUCGGGCCUCUCACUAUCGGAUGAACCCAGAUGGGAUUAGCUAGUAGGCGGGGUAAUGGCCCACCUAGGCGACGAUCCCUAGCUGGUCUGAGAGGAUGACCAGCCACACUGGAACUGAGACACGGUCCAGACUCCUACGGGAGGCAGCAGUGGGGAAUAUUGCACAAUGGGCGCAAGCCUGAUGCAGCCAUGCCGCGUGUAUGAAGAAGGCCUUCGGGUUGUAAAGUACUUUCAGCGGGGAGGAAGGCGAUGGGGUUAAUAACCUUAUCGAUUGACGUUACCCGCAGAAGAAGCACCGGCUAACUCCGUGCCAGCAGCCGCGGUAAUACGGAGGGUGCAAGCGUUAAUCGGAAUUACUGGGCGUAAAGCGCACGCAGGCGGUCUGUUAAGUCAGAUGUGAAAUCCCCGGGCUUAACCUGGGAACUGCAUUUGAAACUGGCAGGCUUGAGUCUUGUAGAGGGGGGUAGAAUUCCAGGUGUAGCGGUGAAGUGCGUAGAGAUCUGGAGGAAUACCGGUGGCGAAGGCGGCCCCCUGGACAAAGACUGACGCUCAGGUGCGAAAGCGUGGGAGCAAACAGGAUUAGAUACCCUGGUAGUCCACGCCGUAAACGAUGUCGACUUGGAGGUUGUUCCCUUGAGGAGUGGCUUCCGGAGCUAACGCGUUAAGUCGACCGCCUGGGGAGUACGGCCGCAAGGUUAAAACUCAAAUGAAUUGACGGGGGCCCGCACAAGCGGUGGAGCAUGUGGUUUAAUUCGAUGCAACGCGAAGAACCUUACCUACUCUUGACAUCCACGGAAUUUGGCAGAGAUGCCUUAGUGCCUUCGGGAACCGUGAGACAGGUGCUGCAUGGCUGUCGUCAGCUCGUGUUGUGAAAUGUUGGGUUAAGUCCCGCAACGAGCGCAACCCUUAUCCUUUGUUGCCAGCGAUUCGGUCGGGAACUCAAAGGAGACUGCCGGUGAUAAACCGGAGGAAGGUGGGGAUGACGUCAAGUCAUCAUGGCCCUUACGAGUAGGGCUACACACGUGCUACAAUGGCGCAUACAAAGAGAAGCGACCUCGCGAGAGCAAGCGGACCUCACAAAGUGCGUCGUAGUCCGGAUCGGAGUCUGCAACUCGACUCCGUGAAGUCGGAAUCGCUAGUAAUCGUGGAUCAGAAUGCCACGGUGAAUACGUUCCCGGGCCUUGUACACACCGCCCGUCACACCAUGGGAGUGGGUUGCAAAAGAAGUAGGUAGCUUAACCUUCGGGAGGGCGCUUACCACUUUGUGAUUCAUGACUGGGGUGAAG
rnacentral:rRNA from 1 species